AGAGUUUGAUCCUGGCUCAGGACGAACGCUAGCGGCAGGCCUAAUACAUGCAAGUCGAGGGGCAGCAUGGUCUUCGGACUGAUGGCGACCGGCGCACGGGUGCGUAACACGUAUGCAACUUACCUUUGAGAGGGGAAUAGCCUGUGGGAACGCAGAUUAAUACCCCAUAUAUUUCUGAUACGAAUGUAUCGGGGAUGAAAGCUCAGGCGCUCAAGAUAGGCAUGCGCCCCCAUUAGCUUGUUUGGGAGGUAACAGCUCACCAGGCUACCAUGGUAGCUGGUCUGAAAGGAUGAUCAGCCCCCCGGGCACUGAGACCCGGGCCGACUCCUACGGGGGGGCGCCGUUAGGGAAUUUUGGGCAAGGGGGGCAACCCUGAACCAACCAUGCCCCGUGGAGGAAGAAGGCCCUCUGAGUCGUAAACUGCUUUUCUGAGGGACUAAGGACAUCCUAUACGGAUGUUUGCAGGUACCUUAGGAAUAAGCACCGGCUAACUACGUGCCAGCAGCCGCGGUAACACGUAGGGUGCAAGCGUUGUCCGGAUUUAUUGGGUUUAAAGGGUGCGCAGGCGGCUUAUUUCCCCGUAGUAAAAACGUACGGCUCAACCGUAUAGGAGCUAUUAAAACUGAUAAGCUUGAGUGUGUCAGAGGAGGUUAGAAUGCAUGGUGUAGCGGUGAAAUGCAUAGAUAUCACGCAGAAUACCAAUUGCGAAGGCAGAUCUCUAUGGCACAACUGACGCUGAGGCACGAAAGCGUGGGGAGCGAACAGGAUUAGAUACCCUGGUAGUCCACGCUGUAAACGAUGAUCACUAGAUGUUCGGUUUACGGACUGAGUGUCCCAGCGUAUGCGAUUAGUGAUCCACCUGGGGAGUACGUUCGCAAGAAUGAACUCCAAGGGAUUGACGGGGGCCCGCCCAAGCGGUGGGGCAUGGGGUUUAAUUCGAUGAUACGCGAGGGACCUUUACCUGGGCUAAAAUGCCCUUUAAAGCUGCCGAAAGGGGGUCCCCCCUUCGGGGCCAAAUGCAAAGGGCCUGCAUGGUUGUCGUCAGCUCGUGCCGUGAGGUGUUGGGUUAAGUCCCCGAACGGAGGUAACCCCUAUCGUUAGUUGCCAGCAUUUCGGAUGGGGACCUCUAACGAGACUGCCUCCCCAAGGAGUGAGGAAGGCGGGGGAUGACGUCAAAAUCAUCAUGGCCCUUACGUCCAGGGGCGACACACGUGAUACAAUGGUCGAUACAGCGGUAGCGACCUUGCGAAAGGAAGCCAAUCCCUAAAAGUCGAUCUCAGUUCGGAUUGGAGUCUGCAACUCGACUCCAUGAAGUCGGAAUCGCUAGUAAUCGCGGAUCAGCCAUGUCGCGGUGAAUACGUUCCCGGGCCUUGUACACACCGCCCGUCAAGCCAUGGAAGCCGGGGGCACCUGAAGUCGGUAUAAUCGCCUAGGGUGAAAUUGGUAACUGGGGCUAAGUCGUAACAAGGUUUCCGUA
rnacentral:rRNA from 1 species